rnacentral:rRNA from 1 species
UAGUUCCGGGCAGGCCUAACACAUGCAGUCGAGCGCGCCUUCGGGCGAGCGGCGGACGGGUUAGUAACGCGUGGGAACGUGCCCAGAUCUACGGAAUAGCCACUGGAAACGGUGAGUAAUACCGUAUACGCCCUUCGGGGGAAAGAUUUAUCGGAUUUGGAUCGGCCCGCGUUAGAUUAGGUAGUUGGUGGGGUAACGGCCUACCAAGCCUACGAUCUAUAGCUGGUUUUAGAGGAUGAUCAGCAACACUGGGACUGAGACACGGCCCAGACUCCUACGGGAGGCAGCAGUGGGGAAUCUUGGACAAUGGGGGCAACCCUGAUCCAGCCAUGCCGCGUGAGUGAAGAAGGCCCUAGGGUCGUAAAACUCUUUCGCCUGUGAUGAUAAUGACAGUAGCAGGUAAAGAAACCCCGGCUAACUCCGUGCCAGCAGCCGCGGUAAUACGGAGGGGGUUAGCGUUGUUCGGAAUUACUGGGCGUAAAGCGCACGUAGGCGGAUUAGAAAGUUAGAGGUGAAAUCCCGGGGCUCAACCCCGGAACUGCCUUUAAAACUACUAGUCUAGAGUUCGAGAGAGGUGAGUGGAAUUCCGAGUGUAGAGGUGAAAUUCGUAGAUAUUCGGAGGAACACCAGUGGCGAAGGCGGCUCACUGGCUCGAUACUGACGCUGAGGUGCGAAAGUGUGGGGGAGCAAACAGGAUUAGAUACCCUGGGUAGUCCACACCGUAAACGAUGAAUGCCAGUCGUCGGGUAGUAUACU